rnacentral:rRNA from 1 species
AGAGUUUGAUCAUGGCUCAGAUUGAACGCUGGCGGCAGGCUUAACACAUGCAAGUCGAGCGGAAACGAUGGGAGCUUGCUCCCAGGCGUCGAGCGGCGGACGGGUGAGUAACACUUAGGAAUCUACCUAGUAGUGGGGGAUAGCUCGGGGAAACUCGAAUUAAUACCGCAUACGUCCUACGGGAGAAAGGGGGCAACUUGUUGCUCUCGCUAUUAGAUGAGCCUAAGUCGGAUUAGCUAGUUGGUGGGGUAAAGGCCUACCAAGGCGACGAUCUGUAGCUGGUCUGAGAGGAUGAUCAGCCACACCGGGACUGAGACACGGCCCGGACUCCUACGGGAGGCAGCAGUGGGGAAUAUUGGACAAUGGGGGAAACCCUGAUCCAGCCAUGCCGCGUGUGUGAAGAAGGCCUUUUGGUUGUAAAGCACUUUAAGCAGUGAAGAAGACUCCGUGGUUAAUACCCACGGACGAUGACAUUAGCUGCAGAAUAAGCACCGGCUAACUCUGUGCCAGCAGCCGCGGUAAUACAGAGGGUGCAAGCGUUAAUCGGAAUUACUGGGCGUAAAGGGAGCGUAGGUGGCUCGAUAAGUCAGAUGUGAAAUCCCCGGGCUCAACCUGGGAACUGCAUCUGAUACUGUUGAGCUAGAGUAUGUGAGAGGAAGGUAGAAUUCCAGGUGUAGCGGUGAAAUGCGUAGAGAUCUGGAGGAAUACCGAUGGCGAAGGCAGCCUUCUGGCAUAAUACUGACACUGAGGCUCGAAAGCGUGGGUAGCCAACAGGAUUAGAUACCCUGGUAGUCCAGGCGUAAAGAUGUCUACUAGUCGUGGGGUCCUUGAGGACUAGUGACGCAGUAACGCAUAAUAGACGGCUGGGGAU